AUAUUAUACAAAUAUUGGACGUCGAAUUCGAUAAAAACAACAUCACUGGAAAAUAAAUUAUUGACAAAAUUUACAAAAACAGUAGCAUCAUCAAGCCCAUCUCAACUUUUAAGUUAAGACAAUCGCAGUACAGUUAUUGAACUCAAAUAGCAAGAACUUCCAAUGAAGGAGGACUGUUGCAUUGCAGAAACUGAAUGAAAUAGAAUUCAAUAUUUUUCUUAUAAUAAAAAACAAAUAAGAAUAUUUAUCAAAAGGAUUAGCGGGUUACCAUGUAUUUGUGUAUUUGUGGGUGUUUGAACUGGCUUAGAAUCUGUCCUAGAAGCCCGAGAAAGAAGAUCCAUUGCAUAUUUCUCCUGCAAGAGAAAUAGACCCUAUGGAGUAGUAGCAACCUUGAUGCCAAAAAAAAAAAACGAGAGAGUAGAGAAUGAGACUAAAAGUUAUGACCUUAUUUGUCAAAAAGCACAUUUGACUUGUAAUUCAGACUUCUUUUUAAAUUUAUACUUGAUGUUACAUAUCCCGAUGCAAAAGUGUUCGAGUUGAAGCAGAAUGUGAGGUGGUUCAUGGCAAGCCUUUCCCUGCUCUGUGGAGAA
rnacentral:lncRNA from 1 species